CCAGUGUCAGUCUGCUACAGCAGCACCACAUCAUCAAUCAUUGUGGGACAGAGGUGGGACGACAACAUCCUGGUGUUCAGAGUGGAAUAGUGUGUACAUUUGCUGCUGACAGUCGGGACAACGAUGCUGAGGAUGUGGGGGACAAGCAUGACGCAGAAGGAGAGCACCAGCAUUAAUAUCGAGUUGGCCAAGCAACAGCACCAGUCUGGCCUGCAGGAGCCCCAAUACAGAACCAUCCUUUCCCUCCCCUGAUCCCUAGCUCCUCCCACUGGACCUCCGGCCUCAAAGGGUCAGCAUUGUUACAUAAGUCUGUGCAAUAAAUCCUCAGCACGUCAAGUUUUCAUGCGCUGUUAUGAACAACCGAAAUAUCCGUGUCUAGAUUUCCCCAAGCAAGCCCGAGUAGUUUUGUUUAGCUCUAGUGCCAGAGUGGGAUGAGUGUUACAGAAGCGAGACGUUAUAGCAGUACUUAUGGUAACGCUAACAGUUAACGCAAACAGUUAGUUCCUGCUGUGGACAUCACGAAGAAUCUCACGAAGAAUUAAACGUUGAAUAAUUUGUUUAAUUCUUUAUAAGACAGCUAUAUAUUCAGCAAGGAACGAGAGAAAAAAAGGAACAAUUGAAAUGAUUCAUUCAGAAGUAUAUCUGCUGUAGAUAGUUAGGACAGUAGUAGCGUUACAGACUGUCCUCAGCGCACAAUAUAUUCAUGUGGUGCACCACAGACGCAAAUUCCCCCCAUUAUUGAAAACAAGUUGCUAAAAGUAAACACGUCCGGUUAUGUACUCCGAGCCCAAAGGGCAUUGCAUUGAAUUGAGACUAAAGAAGGCUAAAAAACAUGACACCAGUUUUGUUGUAUGCUCCAGUACACCCUUCGACUCUCAGCCCGAAGUUAAUCAGAACUCAAACUCGGCCCUUAACAAUAUCCGCGAGGCCAGCAUAUGAGCUCAGCUUCUGAGCUUCAGCAACUGCUAAGCUCAGAAGACCAAGGAGUAGUGAAAGGCUCAGCCAAAUCAAAGUCCAGCGAUGUGAGGGUGAGACAGCCUUCCCAUGUCCUCGUAUUGCAACAUGAAGGACAUUUUAGCUGAAACUAACAAGGGAGAGAACUGUAGAUCUGCACCAGCACAGAGCACCAGGAUUGAUAUCGAGUUGGCCCAGCAACCGCACGAGUCCCGCCUGCAGGAGCCCCAGUCCAGAACAACCCUUCCCCUCCCCUGACUUCUAACUCCUUCCCCUUGACCUCCUGACUGAAAAAGUCAGCAUCGUUGAACAACUCCGUUCUGCAGGAAAUUCUGAGCAUGAUUCUGGUCAAACGUCGAGUUGUCCACACAAAAGCCUGGGUAGUUUUGUUAAGCUAGAGUUCCGCUUGGGCCUGAGAGGGACGAGUUUUACAGACACGAAAAGUUAUAGCAGUAGUUAUGGUAACGCUAACAGUCAGUUGUUGCUGUUGGACAUCACAACAAAUAUCCUGAAGAACAAAAAGUUCAAUAACUUGUUCCAAUCUUUAUGGGACAAACAGAAAUUGAACGGGAGAAAAUCAAGGAACAAUAAAAGCGUAAGCUUUCCUAGUGGGAUGCUUCUGCUGUUGAUAGUUUGGAUGACAGUAGGGUUACGGACUGCCCCAGAUUGUCCAUUCAGCGGCAAAAAUAUCAUAAUGGAACGGACUUUUGGCAAUAUUACCGACAAAGAAAGGCAGUAAUGACUUGGUUGUGAAUACCCAGAGCACGAUACAUCCAUGCUGACACAAAAAGGCAGUAAUGACUUAGUGGUGAAAACCUAGAGCACGCUACAUCCUUGCUGACAAAGAAAUGCAGUAAUGACUUGGUUGUGAAUACCCAGAGCAUGCUACAUCCAUGCUGACACAGAAAGGCAGUAAUGACUAUGCUGUGAACACCCAGAGCAUGCUACAUCCAUGCUGACACAGAAAGGCAGUAAUGACUAUGCUGUGAACACCCAGAGCAUGCUACAUCCAUGCUGACACAGAAAGGAAGUAAUGACUAUGCUGUGAACACCCAGAGCAAGAUAUAUCCAUGCUGACACAGAAAGGCAGUAAUGAUUAUGCUGUGAACACCCAGAGCAAGAUAAAUCCAUGCUGAUACAGAAAGGCAGUAAUGACUACGCUGUGAGCACCCAGAGCACAAUACAUCCAUGCUGACACAGAAAGGCAGUAAUGACUUGGUUGUGAACACCCAGAGCACAAUACAUCAAUGUUGACUCAGAAAGGCAGUAAUGACUUGGUUGUGAACACAGAACACGAUACACCCAUGCAGACACAGAAAGGCAGUAAUGACUAUGCAGUGAACACCCAGAGCAAGAUAUAUCCAUGCUGACACAGAAAAGCAGUAAUGACUAUGCUGUGAACACCCAGAGCACAAUACAUCAUUUGCUGACACAGAAAGGCAGUAAUGACUUGGCUCUGAACACAGAGCACAAUACAUCCAUGCUGACACAGAAAGGCAGUAAUGACUUGGCUGUGAACACAGAGCAACAUACAUCCGUGCUGACACAGAAAGGCAGUAAUGACUUGGCUGUGAACACAGAGCUUAAUAUAUCCAUGCUGACACAGAAAGGCAGUAAUGACUUGACUGUGAACACAGAGCACAAUACAUCCAUGCUGACACAGAAAGGCAAUUAUGACUUGGUUGUGAACACAGAGCACAAUACAUCCUUGUUGACACAGAAAAGCAGUAAUGACUUUGCUGUGAACUCAGAGCACGAUACAUCCAUGCUGACACAGAAAGGCAGUAAUGACUUGGAUGUAAACACCCAGAGCACAAUACAUCCAUACUGACACAGAAAGACAGUAAAGACUUGGUUGUAAACACCCAGAGCACAAUACAUCCAUGAUGACACAGAAAGGCAGUAAAGACCUUGUUGUAAAGACUAAGAGAUCCAUAUAUACAUGGGGUGUGCCACAGCCGCAAAUUACGCCCACUAUUGUGAACAAGGUGCUUAAAGUGAACAUGUCUGGGUUUGGUAUGAGGACUUAGCACUCCAAGCCCAGAAGGCCUCGCAUUGAAUUGAUGCAAGAGAAGGCUUUGAAAAAUAUUAGCAGUUUUGUUGUGUGGUCCAGUACGCCCUUCGACUCUCAACCUGAAGAAAGCAGAACUCAAACUCGGCUCUUAGCAAUAUCAGCAAGACCAGCAUGUCAUCUCCGCUUCUUGAGCUUCAGUGAACUUUACUAGCAAACAUGACAAACGUCAUUGAAAUGAAAGUCGAUGACAACCCCCUUCUUGCACAAAUACUACAACUUGCUUAAGAAAAUCAGCAUGAAGACGUCUUGCGUCAGACUACCAAGCCUCCUAUCAAUAUAUCCUCCCAUGUUGGCUACAUCAACACUUCCAACAGCAGAGCCUUGGUGAGUUUGACUUCCGUCUCAGCAUCCAUGUCGCUUAGCAACAAUUGAAUGAUGGGUGUCGACAAAUUAGGCCGGACAAGUCGCUCAAACUGAAACGAUCUGAUCCAACAGAUCAGUACCCUGCUGAAAAACAGGAUCCCUGGUCAGCUGGGUCCCAGAUGCCCAGCAACACUUCCUGGCCCAGGACCUUGGGGCAAAUGCUCAACGUGUCCUAUCUGCAUGGUGAAGCCAGUCUAAACCUUGGGCUCAAAACUUUCCUGCUUUGGGGCGAGAUUACCUCAUCCAUAAGGGACACAUUUCUAGGAUGCGCCAAGGUCCUUUUAUCUGUUCACAGAGGCCUUAUACUCACAAGUUCAGGCCCAGAGAACGGCGUUCCCCAACUACAACACAACCAGUACGUCUCAAUAGAGGACACCCUUCCUGAAAACCUCGCUGGGUGCGACUGCGCCAUAUGUGACCCUUCAGUGAAAUGAGAUUCCAGGCGGAAUGUCAAACCGGUACUACUCCGGUCUCCAGCAAUAGCCUCAGCCUUGGACGCAGCUUAUCGUGUUAAGUGUUUGGCAGUACCAAGCCUAGUCGACGCAGCAGCAAAAACAACAGUAGCAGUCUAGUCAAGGGUCACCCCACAACGUUGAGUGCCUAGCGAUGAAAUCAUCCACCGUUACAUGUAGUUGAAAACCUGGGUAGCAGAGCAAUGAGUAUGUCCCAGGAGCGUUUUCAGUCAUCGUCUCCAGAUUAUGAGAUUCCCAUGCUCCACAACCCUCAGUCUAUGAACAUCAUGCAGAGCGAACCUUGGACGUCCCUUGACGAAAUCAAACCGGCAAAUCAGAAGGACAGCCUGUUGCUACCGUUGUUAUCAUAUUAACCCCAUACCGAAGAAGCUCAGAGAUAUAAAUGCUGUUUAAUAUGUGCUAGUCUCAACAUACCCCGUGUCUGGUGUGAACAUGUACAAUUGGAGGUCUCUACAUACCCCAUGUCUGGUGUGAACAUGUACAAUUGAAGGUCUCUUCAUACCCCAUGUCUGGUGUGAACAUGUACAAUUGAAGGUCUCUACAUACCCCUUGUCUGGUGUGAACAUGUACAAUUGAAGGUCUCUACAUACCCCAUGUCUGGUGUGAACAUGUACAAUUGAAGGUCUCUGCAUACCUCAUGUCUGGUGUGAACAUGUACAAUUAAAGGUCUCUACAUACUCCAUGUCUGGUGUGAACAUGUACAAUUGAAGGUCUCUACAUACCUCAUGUCUGGUGUGAACAUGUACAAUUGAAGGUCUCUACAUACCCCAUGUCUGGUGUGAACAUGUACAAUUGAAGGUCUCUACAUACUCCAUGUCUGGUGUGAACAUGUACAAUUAAAGGUCUCUACAUACUCCAUGUCUGGUGUGAACAUGUACAAUUGAAGGUCUCUACAUACUCCAUGUCUGGUGUGAACAUGUACAAUUGAAGGUCUCUACAUACUCCAUGUCUGGUGUGAACAUGUACAAUUGAAGGUCUCUACAUACCCCAUGUCUGGUGUGAACAUAUACAAUUGAAGGUCUCUACAUACUCCAUGUCUGGUGUGAACAUGUACAAUUGAAGGUCUCUGCAUACUCCAUGUCUGGUGUGAACAUGUACAAUUGAAGGUCUCUGCAUACUCCAUGUCUGGUGUGAACAUGUACAAUUGAAGGUCUCUACAUACUCCAUGUCUGGUGUGAACAUGUACAAUUGAAGGUCUCUACAUACCCCAUGUCUGGUGUGAACAUGUACAAUUAAAGGUCUCUACAUACCUCAUGUCUGGUGUGAACAUGUACAAUUGAAGGUCUCUACAUACUCCAUGUCUGGUGUGAACAUGUACAAUUGAAGGUCUCUGCAUACCCCAUGUCUGGUGUGAACAUGUACAAUUGAAGGUCUCUACAUACCCCAUGUCUGGUGUGAACAUGUACAAUUGAAGGUCUCUACAUACCCCAUGUCUGGUGAAAAUAUGUACAAUUGAAGGUCUCUACAUACUCCAUGUCUGGUGUGAACAUGUACAAUUGAAGGUCUCUACAUACCCCAUGUCUGGUGUGAACAUGUACAAUUGAAUGUCUCAUCUUUGGAAUUGGGACACGUGGAAAAUUAGUGAUUUGAUUCAGACAGAAAUCGCAUAGUGACAAAUCACAACAAACAAUGGAAAGCAAGAAAGUCUUGUGGCCAGCAAUGUUUUUAUGUGACCACUAAGUUGUGUUCAAAGAAAAACAAUAGUUCAUGAUUUAUUGGAACUAUGAUGCUGUCAGUCAUUUUAUGUUGAAGGCUUUAAAUAACUAUAUUUAAAUAUAAUAAGAUUAAGAUUACUUGAUAAAAAAAAUAAUGUUAUAUAGUAUUUUAAGCGCAAAAUUUACAAGUCUAUCCAAUUACUGUGUCUGUAUUAUGACAUUUUAUUUUGGAAAUGUUAAGGAAAAUAUAAUGUUAGUAAAUAUAUGUCUAUGAAUGUUGAUUUUGACAUUUGUCAAAGCUGUUUAAAUGAUGCUGGUAACUUCGACAAAAUUUAAAGAAAUGUAUUAUUUUCAUGUAAUGAGACAUGCUUCAGUUUUUUGUGGCUUAACCUGUAAUAUAGAGGUGGUAGUUACAAGAAUUGUUUAGCCAGAUGGAGAAUGUUUAUGCUAUGGCUUUGAUACUCUAAAGUGUGCCCAUUGGUGUAAGUUUUUUUUCAAGAAUAUUGUUUAUUGUCUAACAAUUUCUUGAAAAUAUUGAUUAAUUUUAGACAAAAUCAUUUAAUCUUCCUUAAAUUGUCUAUUCUGUAUUCACGACCAGUUAUUUAUUAAUUUGCAUGAAUAUGAUUUAUGAAUGACUUUUGUGUUGCUUAAAAUGCUUUAUUUGUUUUGGAACUGAGUAUUUAAAAACGAAAAUAUGAGGUGUAGGAAAAAUGGCCAAAGUUAUGAUAAUUAUUUUUUUGUUUUUGUAAAGUUUAUUAUGCUUUAUAUGUUUGUGUGUAGGCAUUUAGACGACCAGAUUAACUUGACCAAUAAUUCGUGCUCACUGUAUAUAUCGGUCAGUACAUUUGUCACUUGUAUAUAUAGCGAUUAUGAAAUGAUUGUAUUUGCAAUGUAAAUCAUGCGUUUAUUGUUGCCAUUUUGAUUUUCGCUGUUAACAUUUAUUUGUAAUAACAAUUUUCAUCAUGUACAUCUUUUAGGUGCCAGAUAAUAUAAAAAAAACAUUGCUUGUGGGAAUGCUCAUUUAAAACUUUCUUAAUGAUACAGAAUAACACAUUCUGAAGAGGCAAAUAUGCUUUAGGCAAUAGGAACAUCUUGUUACUAGUAUAUGUAAUGCCUUUCACUAAAUAAAGUCAAGCAACUAUUGAAAGAUUGGUUUAACUUUAUUUUGCAUUAUUUUAAGAAAAAUUAAUAUAUUCAACUUGGAAAUCAGUCAAUUGCAAAUCAAGCGAGAGUGAUGAAUAUUUUUAAGCAAGAUAGAGGGAUGUUUUUGCUUGAAAAAAAGUUGUAUCCCUUGUUAGAUAAUGAUUUUGUUCAUCUCUCAACAUAACAAGUGCAUUCAUACAGCUAUCAAAAAUAUGACACACUUAAUACUCAGCCAUCAGUUUGUAUUGGGGUUUUGUGGAAUACUUACUAAACUAAUAAACGUCUGUUUAAUGAAUGAAUAGCUAUGGUACAAUAUGAUACUCAGUGUUACAAAACAUGUGUAAUAAAAAUAUAAUGUCAUUUAUUUGAAAUCAUAAAAUUUAGUUGUCCAUACAAUGCUUACAGUUUUGCAAUUGCGAUGAUAAAGGAAAUGUUCUGCUCAAAAUGUCUUUUUAAGACAUGUGAAAAUUGUAGCAAUCAUAUUGUACUUGUAUUUAUAUUAUACAUGAUAAGAAUUUACUUACGGCUGAUGAUAGCGGCUGUUUACUACUUGUGUUACCGUUAGUUUCACUCGAUCAUCAGACCAUAUUUCCUUAAAAAUGUGAUUGUUUAUAUUGAACUUUAAUUGAAUGCAUGAAACAUGAUUGUUCUGUUGCUUAACAGCUGAAAAUAGCUUGAUGUUUGUAAAAUUGUAUGAAUGUUUCAAAUAAAGCAUAUUGAUUACAUAAAAAAAUAAAAUUACAUUUUGCGUUACUUUGAAUGCAUAACAAACAAUUGUUACAAUACAAUCAUAUUAGUAUUGAACUUAAUUAAUACUCUUAGAUGCAAUUUUUACAAUAAUGUGUUAAUAUUGUCAUCCAUUCCAAAUAAGCAUUGUGCAUUUGUAAAUAUAGGGUGUAUAUACACUGCUUAGAUGCCUUUUUUAAAUUGCUUGUGUACGUCAUAUUGAUUAAAGACUCUUAUGUAUUGCAUAUUUGUGUGUGCCUAUGUCUGACUUAUCUCUUCAUAGUCCUUAAAUUACUACAAAUAGUAUUUUAAUAAUGUUACGAUAUUUAUCUAAACUAUAACCAGGUUAUCUGUUAAUUUAAGUUUUAUACAUUGUAUUGUCUAGCUAAUGAAAUUGAAGUGUCUAUAUUCUCGCCAACAUGCAUUGUCGGUGUAUGGUUUAGACAAAGCACAUUACACAACUCAUGUUGUUUUUCUCCAUCAUUAAUAACCAAUGUUUAUUCCGUAGAGGUUGCAUUAUACUAAAUAUUUCAGUUGUGCAAUGCUUUGCUCUCUUAAUAAAUCAGCACUAUUUAUUGAUUUUUUAUAUGGGCACUUCCCAUGACUUUAUUCGUGAAUAUUUCUUUGAAUGUGCGGUAGGGAAAACAUUGUUUGCUUGAGGGUUAGAAACUUAAUGUUGACAUUUUGAAAGAUGGCAGUAAACAUUUAACUGCAGAGUAGCUGGGAAAAAGAUUGCUGUUAAACAAUGUAAGACAGAACUCCACGCAAGAUAUGUCAUGCAUGCAAUAUGCAUGAACUAUCUUUUUUAAUUAAUUUGGAUCUGAAUUAUCUUUAAGAAAUGGUAUGGUUAUGAGGGUCUCUAUGUGCAAAAUGUUGCAUUUAUUUAGUGUACAAGUUAUUGCUUAAACAUUGAAUUUGUUAUGGAAAUAAUAUAGUUUAUGUGACUUAAAGAGAUAUACAUGUUUAUGUUAGUGAUGUGUUUUUGCUGAUCCAAGUCUGUUCCUGCACACUAUUUAAAGUUGAUAACUACAAGUUAUCUCAUUCAAAUGUAAAUACAUGUAGUAUUUUACUGUGAAAAAGUGUUGUGAGUUCAAAUAAAAAUACUAUGAAC